UACGUAGGGUGCAAGCGUUGUCCGGAAUUAUUGGGCGUAAAGCGUGCGCAGGCGGUUCGUUGUGUCGGUGGUGAAAUCCCCGGGCUUAACCUGGGAAUGGCCAUGGAAACUGGCGAACUGGAGUGUGGCAGAGGGGGGUGGAAUUCCGCGUGUAGCAGUGAAAUGCGUAGAGAUGCGGAGGAACACCGAUGGCGAAGGCAGCCCCCUGGGCUAGCACUGACGCUCAGGCACGAAAGCGUGGGGAGCAAACAGG
rnacentral:rRNA from 1 species